GUCGCUGGUCUGAGAGGACGACCAGCCACACUGGCACUGAGAUACGGGCCAGACUCCUACGGGAGGCAGCAGUGAGGAAUAUUGCGCAAUGGGGGAAACCCUGACGCAGCAACGCCGCGUGUGGGAAGAAGGCCUUCGGGUCGUAAACCACUUUUACUCGGGACGAAAAAGGGAUAUCAAAUAAAUAUCCCCGAUGACGGUACCGUGAGAAUAAGCCACGGCUAACUCUGUGCCAGCAGCCGCGGUAAGACAGAGGUGGCAAGCGUUGUUCGGAAUUACUGGGCGUAAAGAGUCUGUAGGUGGUUUGUCAAGUCUUUGGUGAAAGGCCGUAGCUUAACUAUGGGAAUGCCAAAGAGACUGGCAGGCUGGAGGCUGGGANAGGGAAGCGGAAUUUCUGGUGUAGCGGUGAAAUGCGUAGAUAUCAGAAGGAAGGCCGGUGGCGAAGGCGGC
rnacentral:rRNA from 1 species